UUUAUAGUAUAAUUAAUACGUUAGGUUUUCAGGCUAAAAAUUUGUUCACAAUAAAU
rnacentral:tRNA from 1 species